rnacentral:rRNA from 1 species
UACGUAGGGGGCGAGCGUUGUCCGGAUUUAUUGGGCGUAAAGAGCGUGUAGGCGGUUCGGUAAGUCUGUCGUGAAAUCCUGAGGCUCAACCUCGGGCGUGCGAUGGAUACUGCCGGGCUAGAGGGUGGUAGAGGCGAGUGGAACUCCUGGUGUAGCGGUGGAAUGCGCAGAUAUCAGGAAGAACACCAACGGCGAAGGCAGCUCGCUGGGACGGUACUGACGCUGAGACGCGAAAGCGUGGGGAGCGAACAGG